rnacentral:rRNA from 1 species
UAUACGACCGUACCGCAAACCGACACUGGUGCGCGAGAUGAGUAUUCUAAGGCGCUUGAGAGAACUCAGGAGAAGGAACUCGGCAAAUUGACACCGUAACUUCGGAAGAAGGUGUGCCCUAUUAGUGUGUAGUGAACAACGAAGCAUGAAUGGGUUGCAAAAAAUCGGUGGCUGCGACUGUUUAUUAAAAACACAGCACUCUGCAAACACGAAAGUGGACGUAUAGGGUGUGACGCCUGCCCGGUGCUGGAAGAUUAAAUGAUGGGGUGCGAGCUCUUGAUUGAAGUCCCAGUAAACGGCGGCCGUAACGAUAACGGUCCUAAGGUAGCGAAAUUCCUUGUCGGGUAAGUUCCGACCUGCACGAAUGGCGUAACGAUGGCCACACUGUCUCCUCCUGAGACUCAGCGAAGUUGAAAUGUUUGUGAUGAUGCAAUCUCCCCGCGGAAAGACGGAAAGACCCCAUGAACCUUUACUGUAGCUUUGUAUUGGACUUUGAACAGAUCUGUGUAGGAUAGGUGGGAGGCUUUGAAGCAGGGUCGCUAGAUCUUGUGGAGCCAACGUUGAAAUACCACCCUGGUGUGUUUGAGGUUCUAACCUAGGUCCAUUAUCUGGAUCGGGGACAGUGCAUGGUAGGCAGUUUGACUGGGGCGGUCUCCUCCCAAAGCGUAACGGAGGAGUUCGAAGGUACGCUAGUUACGGUCGGACAUCGUGACGAUAGUGCAAUGGCAUAAGCGUGCUUAACUGCGAGACUGACAAGUCGAGCAGAUGCGAAAGCAGGACAUAGUGAUCCGGUGGUUCUGUAUGGAAGGGCCAUCGCUCAACGGAUAAAAGGUACUCUGGGGAUAACAGGCUGAUACCGCCCAAGAGUUCAUAUCGACGGCGGUGUUUGGCACCUCGAUGUCGGCUCAUCUCAUCCUGGGGCUGUAGCCGGUCCCAAGGGUAUGGCUGUUCGCCAUUUAAAGAGGUACGUGAGCUGGGUUUAAAACGUCGUGAGACAGUUUGGUCCCUAUCUUCCGUGGGCGCUGCAGAUUUGAGGAAGCCUGCUCCUAGUACGAGAGGACCGGAGUGGACACACCUCUGGUGUAUCGGUUGUCACGCCAGUGGCAUUGCCGAGUAGCUAAGUGUGGAAGAGAUAACCGCUGAAAGCAUCUAAGCGGGAAACUCGUUUCAAGAUGAGAUCUGCCGGGGCCUUGAGCCCCCUAAAGAGUCGUUCAAGACCAGGACGUUGAUAGGUCAGGUGUGGAAGCCA